UAGAGAUUACCCCAUCAUAGAAGACUGUUUACCUGUUCAGUGUAUACAUUUAAAUAUGUUAAGUGUAAAUAUAUGUAGAGAUUACCCCAUCAUAGAAGACUGUUUACCUGUUCAGUGUAUACAUUUAAAUAUGUUAAGUGUAAAUAUAUGUAGAGAUUACCCCAUCAUAGAAGACUGUUUACCUGUUCAAUGUAUACAUUUAAUUUAUGUUAAGUGUA